CCAAUGAUUCUUUCUAUCAGGAGAUUCCAAAUUUGCUACCAUUUAUCUUUGACUAAUAGUGGUGUAAGUUUUCUUUAGAUCUGUAAAAUGCUUUAUGUUGUUGUCCUUACCAGAACUGAACAUUAGCUUCAAGUUAUCAAAUUAUUGUGGCCUAUAAAAUACCAUUCUAGCUCAUACAUGUUUAGACAGCGAUUAGGUGAGAAUUUUGUACAUGUUUAUUAAAUUUGCACACAUCAUUUAUAUAAAUGUAUAAACAUCACUGCUCACCAUGUGACGGACAAGCUGGAGCAUUAUGUGCACGUAACCAUUCCCAGUGACCUGUGAUAAUUCAAAGAAAAAAUACUACUACGAAUUCACAACUGAUGGUUGUUCCCAUAUUUUCCACUAUCAGGAGUGCUGAUUGGAGCUUCACCCCCUGUUUCACCUAUUGCAAGAGAGGUGCCAUCACAGAGACCCAUACCUACAGGAACAUCACAUGCAGCAUCAGAGGGAAGAACCAUGCAUGUAUCUAUGCCAAAGCUUAGUGAGCUGGAAAUCUCUGCAACAAGUACUCCUGCUUCCAAAAGGUCAUCCAUUGGAAGCGGUGGUCCCUCCCCAGGCAUCAAUCAACAUGACUGGAAAACUCCCCUUAAGAAUUCACCAGAGAAGGAGCAGUUCUUUGCACUCAAGGCCCACAUCUCAACCUGAUAUCGUAACUGGAUUCAUCCCUAGAGCUUGAUGUCCAUGCUGCUCUCUAUGAUCUCAUCUCUCAUCCCAUCUCUCAUGCGGCCCCUGUUUCAUAAAACUUGUUGUCAAUAACGAGGUACGAUAAAAGCUACUGAAAUCCUUCCAUUUGAUCGGCUAGGAUCACACUCGUGAUAGAGCUGUGACAGUUAUUGAUAACAAGUUUUACGAAGCAGGGCUCUGGGUCAUCAUCCAAAAUCGGUUGAUUUACAGUCAUUUGUUCAGGAUUUGAACUAUACAGCUUGGUGGCUGCAACACAGGUUUUGAACGGAUAUACCUUUAUAAUUUAUAAUAACUCACUCAAUUUUGACCAACCAUCCAGGUAACAUUACACAAUUAAUCCCAUUUUACUAUGCAGUGGAAGGUUUUUAUUUUGCAAUUACUUUCAAAAGUUGCAUGACAAGGUUAUGUCACUAUCUGGGGCAGUUGCAUGGCAUUGUGGAAUGUGAUAGACUACCGGUAACUCCAUCCUCAGAAAAAGAGGGGAUAUGGGAGGGUGAAAAAAGAGAAAAGAAGUAAGAUUUUUCUUUUCUUUUUAGAUACUGAAGUUAUUUCUUAACUUUCCGUAAUUUUGUUGUAACCCCCAUGUAAUGAUUACCCUUUGCACUUGUAAGUAAAAGUUGUGUAGUUGAUGUAUCCA